AUGAACGCUGGCGGCGUGCCUCAUACCUGCAAGUCGAGCGCACAGACGAGGAGCUUGCUCCUCUGACGUUAGCGGCGGACGGGUGAGUAACACGUGGAUAACCUACCUAUAAGCCUGGGAUAACUUCGGGAAACCGGAGCUAAUACCGGAUAAUAUAUUGAACCGCAUGGUUCAAUAGUGAAAGACGGUUUUGCUGUCACUUAUAGAUGGAUCCGCGCCGCAUUAGCUAGUUGGUAAGGUAACGGCUUACCAAGGCAACGAUGCGUAGCCGACCUGAGAGGGUGAUCGGCCACACUGGAACUGAGACACGGUCCAGACUCCUACGGGAGGCAGCAGUAGGGAAUCUUCCGCAAUGGGCGAAAGCCUGACGGAGCAACGCCGCGUGAGUGAUGAAGGUCUUCGGAUCGUAAAACUCUGUUAUUAGGGAAGAACAAAUGUGUAAGUAACUAUGCACGUCUUGACGGUACCUAAUCAGAAAGCCACGGCUAACUACGUG
rnacentral:rRNA from 1 species